GAUGAACGCUGACAGAAUGCUUAACACAUGCAAGUCGAUGGGGAAGCGGCGCUUGCGCCGUGGCAACCAUGGCGGACGGGUGAGUAACGCGUAAAGAACUUGCCGGAUGGACCGGGAUAACAGCUGGAAACGGCUGGCAAGACCGGAUACUGUGGGCUGGCCGCAUGGCUGGCCCAUGAAAAGGGAUGCCGUCCGAGAGCUUUGCGUCCUAUUAGCUGGUUGGUAAGGUGACGGCUUACCAAGGCGAUGAUAGGUAGCCGGCCUGAGAGGGUGGACGGCCACAAGGGGACUGAGAUACGGCCCUUACUCCUACGGGAGGCAGCAGUGGGGAAUAUUGGACAAUGGGGGCAACCCUGAUCCAGCAAUUCUGUGUGCACGAAGAAGGUUUUCGGAUCG
rnacentral:rRNA from 1 species